GGUCUCAAGCGUUGUUCGGAUUCAUUGGGCGUAAAGGGUGCGUAGGCGGCGCGGUAAGUCGGGGGUGAAAUCUCGGAGCUUAACUCCGAAACUGCAUUCGAUACUGCCGUGCUUGAGGACUGGAGAGGAGACUGGAAUUUACGGUGUAGCGGUGAAAUGCGUAGAUAUCGUAAGGAAGACCAGUGGCGAAGGCGGGUCUCUGGACAGUUCCUGACGCUGAGGCACGAAGGUCAGGGGAGCAAACGGG
rnacentral:rRNA from 1 species